rnacentral:rRNA from 1 species
CCUACGGGUGGCAGCAGUGAGGAAUAUUGGUCAAUGGCCGUAAGGCUGAACCAGCCAAGUCGCGUGAAGGAAGACGGCCCUAUGGUUUGUAAACUUCUUUUAUAGGGGGAUAAAGGUCUCCACGUGUGGAUUUUUGCAUGUACCCUAUGAAUAAGCAUCGGCUAACUCCGUGCCAGCAGCCGCGGUAAUACGGAGGAUGCGAGCGUUAUCCGGAUUUAUUGGGUUUAAAGGGUGCGUAGGUUGUUUUUUAAGUCAGCGGUGAAAGUUUGUGGCUCAACCAUAAAAUUGCCGUUGAAACUGGAAGACUGGAGUGUGUGUGAGGUAGGCGGAAUGCGUGGUGUAGCGGUGAAAUGCAUAGAUAUCACGCAGAACUCCGAUUGCGAAGGCAGCUUACUAAGCCAUAACUGACGCUGAAGCACGAAAGCGUGGGGAUCAAACAGGAUUAGAUACCCGGGUAGUC